AGCCCAGAGCCUGAAUCAGUGUGUGUGUUAGUGGAAGCGUCUGGAAAGGCGCGCGAUACAGGGUGACAGCCCCGUACACAAAAAUGCACAUGCUGUGAGCUCGAUGAGUAGGGCGGGACACGUGGUAUCCUGUCUGAAUAUGGGGGGACCAUCCUCCAAGGCUAAAUACUCCUGACUGACCGAUAGUGAACCAGUACCGUGAGGGAAAGGCGAAAAGAACCCCGGCGAGGGGAGUGAAAAAGAACCUGAAACCGUGUACGUACAAGCAGUGGGAGCACGCUUAGGCGUGUGACUGCGUACCUUUUGUAUAAUGGGUCAGCGACUUAUAUUCUGUAGCAAGGUUAACCGAAUAGGGGAGCCGAAGGGAAACCGAGUCUUAACUGGGCGUUAAGUUGCAGGGUAUAGACCCGAAACCCGGUGAUCUAGCCAUGGGCAGGUUGAAGGUUGGGUAACACUAACUGGAGGACCGAACCGACUAAUGUUGAAAAAUUAGCGGAUGACUUGUGGCUGGGGGUGAAAGGCCAAUCAAACCGGGAGAUAGCUGGUUCUCCCCGAAAGCUAUUUAGGUAGCGCCUCGUGAAUUCAUCUCCGGGGGUAGAGCACUGUUUCGGCAAGGGGGUCAUCCCGACUUACCAACCCGAUGCAAACUGCGAAUACCGGAGAAUGUUAUCACGGGAGACACACGGCGGGUGCUAACGUCCGUCGUGAAGAGGGAAACAACCCAGACCGCCAGCUAAGGUCCCAAAGUCAUGGUUAAGUGGGAAACGAUGUGGGAAGGCCCAGACAGCCAGGAUGUUGGCUUAGAAGCAGCCAUCAUUUAAAGAAAGCGUAAUAGCUCACUGGUCGAGUCGGCCUGCGCGGAAGAUGUAACGGGGCUAAACCAUGCACCGAAGCUGCGGCAGCGACGCUUAUGCGUUGUUGGGUAGGGGAGCGUUCUGUAAGCCUGCGAAGGUGUGCUGUGAGGCAUGCUGGAGGUAUCAGAAGUGCGAAUGCUGACAUAAGUAACGAUAAAGCGGGUGAAAAGCCCGCUCGCCGGAAGACCAAGGGUUCCUGUCCAACGUUAAUCGGGGCAGGGUGAGUCGACCCCUAAGGCGAGGCCGAAAGGCGUAGUCGAUGGGAAACAGGUUAAUAUUCCUGUACUUGGUGUUACUGCGAAGGGGGGACGGAGAAGGCUAUGUUGGCCGGGCGACGGUUGUCCCGGUUUAAGCGUGUAGGCUGGUUUUCCAGGCAAAUCCGGAAAAUCAAGGCUGAGGCGUGAUGACGAGGCACUACGGUGCUGAAGCAACAAAUGCCCUGCUUCCAGGAAAAGCCUCUAAGCAUCAGGUAACAUCAAAUCGUACCCCAAACCGACACAGGUGGUCAGGUAGAGAAUACCAAGGCGCUUGAGAGAACUCGGGUGAAGGAACUAGGCAAAAUGGUGCCGUAACUUCGGGAGAAGGCACGCUGAUAUGUAGGUGAAGUCCCUCGCGGAUGGAGCUGAAAUCAGUCGAAGAUACCAGCUGGCUGCAACUGUUUAUUAAAAACACAGCACUGUGCAAACACGAAAGUGGACGUAUACGGUGUGACGCCUGCCCGGUGCCGGAAGGUUAAUUGAUGGGGUUAGCGCAAGCGAAGCUCUUGAUCGAAGCCCCGGUAAACGGCGGCCGUAACUAUAACGGUCCUAAGGUAGCGAAAUUCCUUGUCGGGUAAGUUCCGACCUGCACGAAUGGCGUAAUGAUGGCCAGGCUGUCUCCACCCGAGACUCAGUGAAAUUGAACUCGCUGUGAAGAUGCAGUGUACCCGCGGCAAGACGGAAAGACCCCGUGAACCUUUACUAUAGCUUGACACUGAACAUUGAGCCUUGAUGUGUAGGAUAGGUGGGAGGCUUUGAAGUGUGGACGCCAGUCUGCAUGGAGCCGACCUUGAAAUACCACCCUUUAAUGUUUGAUGUUCUAACGUUGACCCGUAAUCCGGGUUGCGGACAGUGUCUGGUGGGUAGUUUGACUGGGGCGGUCUCCUCCUAAAGAGUAACGGAGGAGCACGAAGGUUGGCUAAUCCUGGUCGGACAUCAGGAGGUUAGUGCAAUGGCAUAAGCCAGCUUGACUGCGAGCGUGACGGCGCGAGCAGGUGCGAAAGCAGGUCAUAGUGAUCCGGUGGUUCUGAAUGGAAGGGCCAUCGCUCAACGGAUAAAAGGUACUCCGGGGAUAACAGGCUGAUACCGCCCAAGAGUUCAUAUCGACGGCGGUGUUUGGCACCUCGAUGUCGGCUCAUCACAUCCUGGGGCUGAAGUAGGUCCCAAGGGUAUGGCUGUUCGCCAUUUAAAGUGGUACGCGAGCUGGGUUUAGAACGUCGUGAGACAGUUCGGUCCCUAUCUGCCGUGGGCGCUGGAGAACUGAGGGGGGCUGCUCCUAGUACGAGAGGACCGGAGUGGACGCAUCACUGGUGUUCGGGUUGUCAUGCCAAUGGCACUGCCCGGUAGCUAAAUGCGGAAGAGAUAAGUGCUGAAAGCAUCUAAGCACGAAACUUGCCCCGAGAUGAGUUCUCCCUGACUCCUUGAGAGUCCUGAAGGAACGUUGAAGACGACGACGUUGAUAGGCCGGGUGUGUAAGCGCAGCGAUGCGUUGAGCUAACCGGUACUAAUGAACCGUGAGGCUUAACCUU
rnacentral:rRNA from 1 species